rnacentral:rRNA from 1 species
GCAAGUCGAGGGGCAGCACGUUAAAGAGUUUACUCUUUAUGGUGGCGACCGGCGGACGGGUGCGUAACGCGUAUGCAACCCGCCUGACACAGGGGGUUAAUCAGAAGAAAUGUGGUCUAAUACCCCUUAAUACCGAUAUCGGCAUCUAUGUUGGUUGAAAGCUCUGGUGGUGUCAGAUGGGCAUGCGUUGUAUUAGCUAGUUGGUGAGGUAACGGCUCACCAAGGCGACGAUACAUAGGGGGACUGAGAGGUUAACC